rnacentral:rRNA from 1 species
UACGUAGGGUGCGAGCGUUAAUCGGAAUUACUGGGCGUAAAGCGUGCGUAGGCGGUUCCUCAAGUCCGUUGUGAAAGCCCCGGGCUCAACCUGGGAAUGGCAGUAGAAACUAGGGGACUGGAAUCUGGCAGAGGGGGGUGGAAUGCCGCGUGUAGCAGUGAAAUGCGUAGAGAUGCGGCGGAACACCGAUGGCGAAGGCAGCCCCCUGGGCUGAGAUUGACGCUCAGGCACGAAAGCGUGGGGAGCAAACAGG